rnacentral:rRNA from 1 species
GACGAACGCUGGCGGCGUGCCUAACACAUGCAAGUCGUACGGAAAGGCCCUUUCGGGGGUACACGAGUGGCGAACGGGUGAGUAACACGUGAGUAACCUGCCCACAACUUUGGGAUAACGCUAGGAAACUGGUGCUAAUACUGGAUAUGUGCUCCUGCUGCAUGGUGGGGGUUGGAAAGCUCCGGCGGUUGUGGAUGGACUGGCGGCCUAUCAGCUUGUUGGUGGGGUAAUGGCCUACCAAGGCGGCGACGGGUAGCCGGCCUGAGAGGGUGACCGGCCACAUUGGGACUGAGAGGCGGCCGAGGCUCCUACGGGAGGCAGCAGUGGGGAAUAUUGCCCAAGGGGCGCAGGCCUGAUGCAGCAGCGCCGCGGGCGGGAUGACGGCCUUCGGGUGGAAGACCGCUUUCAGCAGGGACGAAGCUUUUUGUGACGGUACCUGCAGAAGAAGCACCGGCUAACUACGUG